UACGGNGGGUGCGAGCGUUAAUCGGAAUUACCGGGCGUAAAGCGCNCGCAGGCGGUUUGUUAAGCUAGAUGUGAAAGCCCCGGGCUCAACCUGGGAUGGUCAUUUAGNACUGGCAGACUAGAGUCUUGGAGAGGGGAGUGGAAUUCCAGGUGUAGCGGUGAAAUGCGUAGAUAUCUGGAGGAACAUCAGUGGCGAAGGCGACUCCCUGGCCAAAGACUGACGCUCAUGUGCGAAAGUGUGGGUAGCGAACAGC
rnacentral:rRNA from 1 species